GGGGGAAUAUUGGGGGCAAUGGGGGCGCAAGCCUGACCCAGCAACGCCGCGUGAAGGAAGAAGGCUUUCGGGUUGUAAACUUCUUUUAAGGGGGAAGAGGAGAAGACGGUACCCCUAGAAUAAGCCACGGCUAACUACGUGCCAGCAGCCGCGGUAAUACGUAGGUGGCAAGCGUUGUCCGGAUUUACUGGGUGUAAAGGGUGCGCAGGCGGGACUGCAAGUUGGAUGUGAAAUACCGGAGCUCAACUCCGGAACUGCAUCCAAAACUGUAGUUCUUGAGUGGAGUAGAGGUAAGCGGAAUUCCGAGUGUAGCGGUGAAAUGCGUAGAUAUUCGGAGGAACACCAGUGGCGAAGGCGGCUUACUGGGCUCUAACUGACGCUGAGGCACGAAAGUGUGGGUAGCAAACAGGAUUAGAUACCCUGGUAGU
rnacentral:rRNA from 1 species